rnacentral:rRNA from 1 species
CAAGUCGAGCGAACAGGAUGAGAAGCUUGCUUCUCUGAUGUUAGACGGCGGACGGGUGAGUAACACGUGGGUAACCUACCUAUAAGACUGGGAGUAACUCCGGAAACCGGGGCGUAAUACCGGAUAAUAUAUUGAACCGCAUGGUUCAAUGUUGAAAGACGGUUUCGGCUGUCACUUAUAGAUGGACCCGCGCCGUAUUAGCUAGUUGGUAAGGUAACGGCUUACCAAGGCAACGAUACGUAGCCGACCUGAGAGGGUGAUCGGCCACACUGGAACUGAGACACGGUCCAGACUCCUACGGGAGGCAGCAGUAGGGAAUCUUCCGCAAUAGGCGAAAGCCUGACGGAUCAACGCCGCGUGAGUGAUGAAGGUCUUAGGAUCGUAAAACUCUGUUGUUAGGGAAGAACAAAUUUGUUAGUAACUGAACAAGUCUUGACGGUACCUAACCAGAAAGCCACGGCUAACUACGUG